GACGAACGCUGGCGGCGUGCUUAACACAUGCAAGUCGAGCGGUAAGGCCCUUUCGGGGGUACACGAGCGGCGAACGGGUGAGUAACACGUGGGUGACCUGCCCUUAGCUCUGGGAUAAGCCUGGGAAACUGGGUCUAAUACCGGAUAUGACUCCAUGACGCAUGUUGUGGGGUGGAAAGCCUUGUGCGGCUAGGGAUGGGCCCGCGGCCUAUCAGCUUGUUGGUGGGGUGAUGGCCACCAAGGCGACGACGGGUAGCCGGCCUGAGAGGGCGACCGGCCACACUGGGGACUGAGACACGGCCCAGACUCCUACGGGAGGCAGCAGUGGGGAAUCUUGCGCAAUGGCGAAAGCCUGACGCAGCGACGCCGCGUGAGGGAUGACGGCCU
rnacentral:rRNA from 1 species